rnacentral:rRNA from 1 species
GAUGAACGCUGGCGGCGUGCCUAAUACAUGCAAGUCGAGCGAAUGGAUUAAGAGCUUGCUCUUAUGAAGUUAGCGGCGGACGGGUGAGUAACACGUGGGUAACCUGCCCAUAAGACUGGGAUAACUCCGGGAAACCGGGGCUAAUACCGGAUAAUAUUUUGAACUGCAUGGUUCAAAAUUGAAAGGCGGCUUCGGCUGUCACUUGUGGAUGGACCCGCGUCGCAUUAGCUAGUUGGUGAGGUAACGGCUCACCAAGGCAACGAUGCGUAGCCGACCUGAGAGGGUGAUCGGCCACACUGGGACUGAGACACGGCCCAGACUCCUACGGGAGGCAGCAGUAGGGAAUCUUCCGCAAUGGACGAAAGUCUGACGGAGCAACGCCGCGUGAGUGAGGAAGGCUUUCGGGUCGUAAAACUCUGUUGUUAGGGAAGAACAAGUGCUAGUUGAAUAAGCUGGCACCUUGACGGUACCUAACCAGAAAGCCACGGCUAACUACGUGCCAGCCGCCGCCGUAA